rnacentral:rRNA from 1 species
GACGAACGCUGGCGGCGUGCUUAACACAUGCAAGUCGAACGAAGUGGCGAACGGGUGAGUAACGCGUAAUCAACCUGCCCUUCAGAGGGGGACAACAGUUGGAAACGACUGCUAAUACCGCAUACUGAAGGAGGGGAUUGCGUCUGAUUAGCUAGCUGGAGGGGUUACGGCCCACCAAGGCGAUGAUCAGUAGGCGGGCUGGGAGGGUGAACGGGCAAAAUUGGGAUGGGGCACGGCCCAGACUCCUUCGGGAAGGAGCAGUGGGGAAACUUCCGGAAUGGACGGAAGUCUGGCCGAGCAACGCCGCGGGGGUGGAGGCAGGCUUCGGGGUGUAAAGCUCUGUUAGUCGGGACGCGGUACCGGAAUAGAAAGCAACGGCUAACUACGUGCCAGCAGCCGCGGUAAUAC